GACGAACGCUGGCGGCGUGCUUAACACAUGCAAGUCGAGCGGUAAGGCCCUUUCGGGGGGUACACGAGCGGCGAACGGGUGAGUAACACGUGGGUGACCUGCCCUCAGCUCUGGGAUAAGCCUGGGAAACCGGGUCUAAUACUGGAUAUGACUCCAUGACGCACGUUGUGGGGUGGAAAGCCUUGUGCGGCUGAGGAUGGGCCCGCGGCCUAUCAGCUUGUUGGUGGGGUGAUGGCCUACCAAGGCGACGACGGGUAGCCGGCCUGAGAGGGCGACCGGCCACACUGGGACUGAGACACGGCCCAGACUCCUACGGGAGGCAGCAGUGGGGAAUCUUGCGCAAUGGGCGAAAGCCUGACGCAGCGACGCCGCGUGAGGGAUGACGGCCU
rnacentral:rRNA from 1 species